rnacentral:rRNA from 1 species
CUAUGCGCCUUGCCAGCCCGCUCAGGUGUGCCAGCCGCCGCGGUAAUACGGAGGAUGCGAGCGUUAUCCGGAUUUAUUGGGUUUAAAGGGUGCGUAGGCGGAUUUUAAGUCAGCGGUAAAAUGUCCGGGCUCAACCCGGGCCGGCCGUUGAAACUGGGGAUCUAGAGUGUGCGAGAGGUAUGCGGAAUGCGUGGUGUAGCGGUGAAAUGCAUAGAUAUCACGCAGAACCCCGAUUGCGAAGGCAGCAUACCGGUGCACAACUGACGCUCAGGCACGAAAGCGUGGGUAUCGAACAGG